GUUCUGUCAUAUGUAAGUGUUGGAAAGCUUAGCUGGAUCUAUGUGUCAAUUUUGCCAGACAUCGGAACGCUUCAACGAUCGCCUUUGCAAGCUCCUCCUUCAAAGCGGCGGAGGGAUAUAGAUCCUCUUUCCCUGUUAGCAUACACAUAUGACUAACACAAAUGCGUACCAGCAACCUCCGUUCAUCUAAUUCCAAAAUAGCUUCAUUCCGCUCCAAGUAGGAAUUUGUUAUCUUCCGUCCCUCCGCGCUAUCUUUCAAGAUAGAAAAUAUUUCAAAUUAGGUUGACCUAAUAAAAAAAACGAGUUCAAAGAAAUUGUUAUAAAAUGCUGCAUUGCUCAUUUACAUAUA